rnacentral:lncRNA from 1 species
AGCCCCCGACCAAAGUCCGUUUGAUUAAUGGUCCUCACCACUGCAAAGGAAGAGUGGAAGUGGAACAGGAAGGUCACUGAGGUACCGUGUGUGAUGACAGCUGGGACAUGAAGGAUGUGGCCGUGGUGUGCCAGGAGCUGGGCUGUUGAGCAGCCAAGCACACACCUGCUGGCAUGUUGUAUUCAAGAGUGGCAGAAGAGGCCCAACCUGUGUUCAUUCAGGUUGCCCUGUGCCAUAGGACAGAAGAGGCACUGGCUGAAUGACUUCACCACAUUCUGGGGAACAACAAAAGGAGCACAUCCUGUAUCACUCAAGACCAAGCCAUGGUCUUCUGUGUGCAGUCCUCAAGCCCACCCAAAGAGCCCUUAGAAGUCUGCAUCUCAUAGGCCUCUGUUCCUUGUGGACUUCCCAAUGUGGCUGGGCCUUUGCUGCCCGAUGGACUUUCAGAAACUCUGUCUGUUUCCUCUGGCCUUUGGUGGAUGGAUUUUUCUUUAGAUUGUUGGUUCUCCAUUUUGCUGCACAUUGGAAUCACCUGAGGAGUUUUCUGAAGUCCUGAUAUUGGAGUUCUACUUCCAAAUUCUCUAGGAGUCUGGGGUGAUGCCGGGACAUCAAGAUAUUUUCCUUCAAAUUAACCCUCAGGUUAUUACAGUAUUCAGACAAACUGAAAACUACAGCCUUAGUCUUACAGGCCCCCUGCAUUGAUUGCUGCCCCUGUGAAGAAAUGUGGCCAUGUUCAUUAUGGUCUUCCUCUCUGCUACUGAUAUUCCUAUUUUCUUUGGAUUCCAGAAUAAAAA